GACGAACGCUGGCGGCGUGCUAAACACAUGCAAGUCGAACGGAAAGGCCCUUCGGGGUACUCGAGUGGCGAACGGGUGAGUAACACGUGGGUGAUCUGCCCUGCACUUUGGGAUAAGCCUGGGAAACUGGGUCUAAUACCGAAUAGGACCACGCGCUUCAUGGUGUGUGGUGGAAAGCUUUUGCGGUGUGGGAUGGGCCCGCGGCCUAUCAGCUUGUUGGUGGGGUAAUGGCCUACCAAGGCGACGACGGGUAGCCGGCCUGAGAGGGUGACCGGCCACACUGGGACUGAGAUACGGCCCAGACUCCUACGGGAGGCAGCAGUGGGGAAUAUUGCACAAUGGGCGCAAGCCUGAUGCAGCGACGCCGCGUGAGGGAUGACGGCCUUCGGGUUGUAAACCUCUUUCACCAGGGACGAAGCGUAAGUGACGGUACCUGGAGAAGAAGCACCGGCCAACUACGUG
rnacentral:rRNA from 1 species